rnacentral:rRNA from 2 species
UACGAAAGGUGCAAGCGUUACUCGGAAUCACUGGGCGUAAAGCGCACGUAGGCGGACUCACAGGUCAAUUGUGAAAUACCUGGGCUCAACCCGGGAACUGCAGUUGAAACCGUUUGUCUUGAAUACCUGAGAGGGUGGGGGAAUACCUGGUGGAGAAGUGAAAUUCGUAGAGAUCAGGUGGAACACCGGAGGCGAAGGCGCCUGCCUGGCAGUGUAUUGACGCUGAGGUGCGAAAGUGCGGGGAGCAAACAGG